rnacentral:rRNA from 1 species
GUUUUUUCUUUUCAGACACCUUUACACGGGCUCUGCGUGUGUGUCCUCCGCGCGUGUCGUGAUAUGGUGGGUUAACUCCCGCAACGAGCGCAACCCCUGCCUCUAUUUGCUAUCGUGUUUAUGUUUUUACCUAUAUGGUGGGUACUAUAUAGGCACUGCCUGAGAUAACCCAGAAGAGGGUGGAGAUGACCUCGAGUCCUCGUGGCCCUUAUGGGCGGGGCCACACACGUGCUACUGUGGUGGUUACUGUGUGGUGCAAACUCGCGAGGCAGAUCUUAUCCCCAAGAGCCAUCUCAUUUCAGAUUGCUCUCUGCAUCUCGAGUGCGAGAACUCAGACUCUCUAGUACUCGCAUAUCAGCGUGCCGCGGAGAAUACUCUCUCGGGUCGUGUACACACCGCCCGUCACACCGUGAGAGUUGGUUUUGCCUGAACACUGUGUGCUA